GAUGAAGAACGUAGCGAAAUGCGAUAAGUAAUGUGAAUUGCAGAAUUCAGUGAAUCAUCGAAUCUUUGAACGCACCUUGCGCCCUUUGGCUAUUCCGAAGGGCAUGCCUGUUUGAGUAUCGUGAACACCUCAACUCUCAUGGUUUGCCAUGAUGAGCUUGGACUUGGGGGUUUUGCUAGCCUUCGGUCGGCUCCUCUCAAACGGAUCAGCUUUCCAGUGUUUGGUGGCGUCACGGGUGUGAUAACUAUCUACGCCUGUGGUUUUCUGCCAGAUAACCUUCAGCGAUGGAGGUUCGCUGGGGCUCAUAAAUGUCUCUCUUCAGUGGAGACAGCUUUUUGGACGUUUGAUCUCAAAUCAGGUAGGACUACCCGCUGAACUUAAGCAUAUCAAUAAGCGGAGGA
rnacentral:misc_RNA from 1 species